rnacentral:tRNA from 1 species
GAGGGUAUAGCUCAGUGAUAGAGUGCAUGCAUAGCAUGCAUGAGGUCCUGGGUUCAAUUCCCAGUACUGCUA